UAGGGAAUCUUCCGCAAUGGGCGAAAGCCUGCCGGAGCAACGCCGCGUGAGUGAUGAAGGUCUUCGGAUCGUAAAACUCUGUUAUUAGGGAAGAACAAAUGUGUAAGUAACUAUGCACGUCUUGACGGUACCUAAUCAGAAAGCCACGGCUAACUACGUGCCAGCAGCCGCGGUAAUACGUAGGUGGCAAGCGUUAUCCGGAAUUAUUGGGCGUAAAGCGCGCGUAGGCGGUUUUUUAAGUCUGAUGUGAAAGCCCACGGCUCAACCGUGGAGGGUCAUUGGAAACUGGAAAACUUGAGUGCAGAAGAGGAAAGUGGAAUUCCAUGUGUAGCGGUGAAAUGCGCAGAGAUAUGGAGGAACACCAGUGGAGAAGGCGACUUUCUGGUCUGUAACUGACGCUGAUGUGCGAAAGCGUGGGGAUCAAACAGG
rnacentral:rRNA from 1 species